GUUAGUGGUUUUCGUGAUGUGUACACAGUUAACUUAAAUAUAAGGACGUCUGUUAUACUGGUGAUUCCUUCUGCUGAUUUGUGUACCUAGGAGUUUCGUUUAGUCCCCUAAAAACUGAGACUAAUGGCUUUAUCUUCGCAUAUAAAAGCAACAUGGAGGUCAUUGGUGAUAAUUAUUACACCAUUGAUUUUAAUACCUUUAGUACUUCCAGGAUCGACUUCAGUAUCUCGAUGCGCCUUUGGUUUACUUUUGAUGGCAGUGUACUGGAUGAGCGAAGCACUACCGCUUCCUGUGACUUCGCUUUUACCAAUUGUGUUAUUUCCUAUUUUAGGAGUAGCCCCUACCAAAAUACUGGCUCUUCAAUAUUUUAAGGAUGUCAUGUUUCUUCUGAUUGGUGGACUGCUGGUGGCGCUAGCCAUAGAGAAAAGUAAUCUUCACAGACGAUUUGCUCUGAAACUUCUUCUUCUGUUUGGGGUCAGACCUAAGAGACUGUUGCUGGCCUUUGCGGUAGGCACUAGCUUUCUGUCCAUGUGGAUUAGUAAUACGGCGUCAACAGCCAUGAUGAUUCCUAUAGCUAGAGCCGUGCUCUCCCGACUCCUCAAGAUUCAGUCUAGAACGAAAAGAGCAGUAUACAGUGGUUCAGAAGCUCUUCUUGGGACAGACUCACCACCGAAUGAACAAAACAAAGCCAUUGAAAUAGUGAUUGAAGAACCUCUACAAAGUGCCAUGAGCGAAAAGACUACCAAGGAUACUAUAGUCAUUGAAGGUGUUAACUACGACGACGAUGACGAAGAAACGGACUUCUCGAAUCUAGACCCAGAAUCAAAGAACCUGGUAAAGGCCGUCUCUCUGUGUGUCUGUUAUUCUGCAAACUGCGGCGGGAUUGGAACACUGACUGGGACAGGACCCAACAUGAUAGCAAAGGGCUAUGCAGACAAACUCGAAGGCGGAAGUUCAGCAAUUACCUUCACAUCGUGGAUGAUAUUCUCAUUUCCGGUGUCGGUCAUUGGUGUCUUCCUGGUUUGGAUUUGGGUGCAGAUUGUCUUUCUUGGACCAAGAGAAACGUUCAGAUGCAGUAAAAGGAAGGAUAAUGAUGCCGAAGCAGAGAAGAGUUCCACUGAGUAUAUAGAAAGAGAGUAUGCCAAAAUGGGUUCCAUUAGUUUUGCUGAGCGUGUUGUUAUGUGUCACUUCUUGCUGUUGAUAAUACUGUGGAUCACACGCAAUCCUGGAUUCCUCCCUGGGUACGCCGAGCUCUUCAACAAUGGGUAUAUAUCAGGGGCGGUUCCUGCCAUUUUGAUUGCCGUCAGCCUUUUCAUUUUCCCAGUAAGGAGACCCAACAGCUGGUGCUUCCGUCGUAAAGGAGAUACCAAUAUUCCAACGGAGACACCAGGUAUCUUGCAAUGGUCACAAGUCAGCAAGACCUUCCCCUGGGGAGUUGUGUUCCUUAUUGGCGGCGGAUACGCUCUUGCAGAGGCAUGCCAGAUAUCUGGGUUAUCCCGAGUCGUGGCUUUGCAACUGUCCUUUAUUGGAAAUCUUCCGCUCUGGUUGGCUAGUCUUGUUGUCAUAACAUUGACGUGCUUAACAACAGAAAUAACCAGCAAUUCCGUCAUAACAACAAUAUUUAUGCCAAUAUUAGCCGAAGUAGGAGCGGGAGUUAGCCAAGUCGUUGAGCGCUCGGCUGACGUGCUUGCCUCGUCGGAUCGAACCACUCAGUGGAUCUGUUCAACUGAUUUGGUUUUUUCUCGUUCCAACCAGUGCACCACAAAGUCAGCAUAUUGUUAUACAUAUUCCUCUGUCACCAAUGGUGAAGUUCUAUUCAGGCCAUUUCAAUGAAAGUACACCCUCUGUACUUCAUGUUGCCAUCUGCAGUGUCAGCUUCGUUCGCAUUCAUGUUUCCAGUUGCCACACCACCCAAUGCUUUGGUCUUUGCGUACGGUGACGUCAAGGUCGUGGAUAUGGUGAAAACUGGAGCCAUUUUAAAUAUUGUCAACAUCUUCUCUGUGACAAUGGCUAUCAAUACAUGGGGAACAGCAUAUUUUCAUCUAGAUCAGUUUCCUGACUGGGCUCAAAGGAUGUAUAUUGAAGCUGUUGAGUCA
rnacentral:misc_RNA from 1 species